CGCAUCUGUGCAUGCAGCAUAUCAAUAAGCGGAGGAAAAGAAACUAACAAGGAUUCCCUCAGUAACGGCGAGUGAAGCGGGAAGAGCUCAAAUUUGAAAUCUUGAAAGGUCACCUUUCACGAAUUGUAGUUUAAAGAAGUGUUUUCUGUUACGAUCGUAAUAUAAGUUCUUUGGAAUAGGACAUCACAGAGGGUGAGAAUCCCGUCUAUGAUUGCGAUUUGUAGCUUUGUGAUACACUUUCAAAGAGUCGGGUUGUUUGGGAAUGCAGCCCAAAACGGGAGGUAAAUUUCUUCUAAGGCUAAAUAUUGGCGAGAGACCGAUAGCGAACAAGUACCGUGAGGGAAAGAUGAAAAGAACUUUGAAAAGAGAGUUAAAUAGUACGUGAAAUUGUCAAAAGGGAAGCGCUUAACACCAGUGUUGUUUUCUGAAAAUCAACCUCUGUUAGCUUUAUGCAUGUUUGUUUAGACCUAAUCAGCUAUCUUGCAUGUUCUAUUGUUUGCAGUGGUGCACUUUUCAGUUUACAGGUCAACAUCAGUUUUUUUACCGUAAAAAAGUUAAAGAAAGGUAGCUCAUGGCUCCGGUCGUGAGUGUUAUAGUCUUUUUCCUAUGCGGUAGGAGAGACUGAGGUCUGCAGUGUAGGCUAUUUGGCUAGAUACUCAGGUGCUAUGUGAUACCAUUUCAUAAACAACUUGUUGAUUAUGUUUUGUCUAUUGCAUACUCGCUUGUACUAUCAUACCUACGCUUAGGAUGUUGAAGUCAUCGUAUCGCGC
rnacentral:rRNA from 1 species